rnacentral:rRNA from 1 species
CCAAUAGCGUAUAUUAAAGUUGUUGCAGUUAAAAAGCUCGUAGUUGAAUUUCGGGAUCAAUCUAUCGGUCGUGCAAUAGUACGUACUGAUUUUAUUGAUUCCUCCCUUCUGAUGAACUAUGAUGUCAUUAAUUUGGUGUCAUAGGGAAUCAGGACUGUUACUUUGAAAAAAUUAGAGUGUUUAAAGCAGGCUCACGCUUGAAUACAUUAGCAUGGAAUAACGAAAUAGGACGUUUGAUUCUAUUUUGUUGGUUUCUAGGAUCGACGUAAUGAUUAAUAGGGAUAGUGGGGGGCAUUAGUAUUCAAUUGUCAGAGGUGAAAUUCUUGGAUUUAUUGAAGACUAACUACUGCGAAAGCAUUUGCCAAGGAUGUUUUCAUUAAUCAAGAACGAAAGUUAGGGGAUCGAAGACGAUCAGAUACCGUCGUAGUCUUAACCAUAAACUAUGCCGACUAGGGAUCGGAUGAUGUUAAUUUUUUAAUGACUCAUUCGGCGCCUUACG